GAGGAGGUCACCUCACACUUGUACUGAAAUGAUUAAAGCAGGUUAAGAAGGGGGCUGCUAGGAAAGUCAGCAGUGAGUCUGUGGAAGAAGGGAAGAGUAUUUGGGAAUACAGUGCCAGGAAGCCCACAGAUACUGCCUUGGAAAGUGUCUGGCAAUCUCAGAUGGGGGCUGAGGGGAGAAUGCGAGAUGAUAAGGAAGAGUUCAGAGAAAGGAAGUAAUAUCUAAAAGGAAAUAGAUCAUGACUGCUAACUAGAGUGUCCCCAAGCCAGUGGCACUUAAAGGAAAGACUGCCUUAGACUGCCAGGGAGAAAGACAUUGAUGCCCUAGAAGUGACCUGGCUGGAGGGCAUGAAGUGGCAGCAUUGGCAGCAGCAGCAGCAGCAGCAACUCGUAAAGCCAGAGAGGUGCUGAAGGCUAGUAUACAGAGAUGGAGUGAUGUUGUGGAACUGCAGAAAGGGGCAUUGGCCUGGGAAGCUAUUCCUCACAGUGACCAGAAGAAGGAGAAAUUCUAGGAAAGCAUGAAGGCCCCCAUCAUAUAUGUACUUAAUUUUUUGGCUGUUAAUUUUUAUGUCUUUUGUUAGUUGCUCUUCAAAUUCUUCUCUCUUCUUUUGGCCUGACUAAUUAUACUUUUUACAAUCCACUUGCCAAUGUUUAUAUUCCUUUCUAUUUUCCUCAGUAGGAUUUGACUUCCAAUUUUUGAAAGAUGUAUUGUUGGCUCUGUCUGCCUUUUUUUCUCUGUUUAGCUAUGGCAGCAUUUUAUUGGUCCUCAUACUUCUUUAUUUUAUGCUUUGAUAUAUACUUUUAGUUUAGGCUCUGUUAUAGCAGUUUUUAAAUAAUUUUCAUGCAACUUGGAUGCAUUUCACUCUUUUGACUGUAACUUCUAAUUUCUAUUUAACUAGCCUACUUAUUUUUAUAGUUUCCACUUAUAAAGUUAAAAGAUGCUAUGCUGAGUUUCAUUUGUGUUUUCUCUCUAUAAGAAUAAAUGUAAUUACACUAUUCUUUCUGUUACCAAAUGGUAUAGUUAUAUUUUCUCUUGGACCAGAUCUUGUGCUCUCAGUAUCUGAUUAAAUCAAGAAUUGGCUCACCCCUUGUUGUUCCAAAACUAACUGCCACAAGAAGGAGUCACUAAUAGUGUCCAGAAAUUGUCUUUAUCCCAUUCUGAUGUGAUGUUUAUAGAGUUAAUAUGGGGAUAAUUGAAAUCUCCCAUUAUUAUUGGGUCUUCUGUUUCACAAACAUCAUCAGUGUUCUUUUCAGGUGGUUGGUGAUAUACUCUUAUUAUUCAGGCAUGGCAUUUCUAUCCAUAGAGAUUCUAUUAUAUUCUUUGAUUAAUUUAGGAAUUUUGGUAUCUGUAAGGAAUGUAAUUUUUAGAUUAUUAUUAUUGUUAUUACUAUUACAUUUAAGUACUAUUUGUAUUAAUUUCUCUUUAGAAAUCAAGAUGUUGUAAUUAGCAUGUAUGAUUUAUAGCUUCUGGGACAGGUGAUGGAGGUGGCCAGCAAUUGUGAAGACUGUACAAAGAAAAAAGACUGACAUAUAAAAGAGUUUUCUGGAGUUUGUAAAGACUCACAUGAGAAUUUACUAGGAGUAUGUGAAGCUCACUUAAUUUCAUCAGUUUUUACCUUAAUCAAAUUUUAAAAACAGUGAAUGAGUGUAUUUUAUGUAACAAAUGCAGGGCUACAGGUAUCUCAAAGCAGUUGUCAUGCAUCUGGAGAGGAAGAAGGGCAAAGUUAACUAGCUCUCUGAACCAGGAGACUACUGGAGACAGACUGGAUACUCUGGCAUCAGCCAGAGCAUCUGCAGGACAGCAGUGGAGCAAAGUGACUUACAAACCUGAGGAUCUGGAUUGCAGUUCCCAAUAUUGUAGUUCAGCUCUUUACUCUACAUGCAGUACUGAAAAUUUAAUCAUCCUUAUCAUAAUAUUUUCUGUUCAGAAUUUUGUACCAGAGCCCAUUUACAUCAGUUCAAACAUUGCCUUUUAUUCAUGGAAACAGAAUAGUAUUUCCACAAUCGGUAAAAGCAAUGCAGCAUUGUUUGUGGGCUGUGACUAAUUAUACAUGUCUAGUUUUAUGUUUCAGAGCUAGUGUUUACAGACAUAUAAAUAGUUUCAAAUGUUGCAUUGGUUCAGUACCUGAAUAAAAGAUGGAAUACUGAUGUGUCAGAUUUUUUCCACAACUUAUUAAAAAGAAAACUAAAAGGUAUGCUUUGUUGUAGAAAGAUGGGAUCAAAUGUAACCUACUAAAAUGCAUAGAGAAAAGUUCUUUGAUGAGUAAAUGCUUGAUGUGAAAAUGUUUUCCUUGACUAUGGACUAUAGAGAAAUUGGAUAUAGUUUCUCUAAAGACAGAAGACAAUUAAUGUAAAUAUGCUGUUAUUGUCCAAAUGUGGAUUUGGGGUGAGGGGAGGCAGAACUUUUGCUUUUAUAAAUAAACAUGGAUAGAAUGGUGUUGAUCUACACAAACUGUGGAUCUGGCCUUUUAUGUCUUCAUCUAAAUUUGAUAAAAAUCUAUAAGAUCAAUACAAGCCAGAAUAUUCUUCAGCUUCUGGACUGAUUUUGGCUACUUUGCACAGGCAUAAAUGUUAAGAGAUGGCUUCUGUGGUGGAUGAUUUUCCAGAGGCUAGAAUUUACUAUGGUGCAAUGGCCACACUCUCCCUUGCAUAGAAGGCAGAGAGACAGAAAGCUAGUCUAGCCCACCUUACCCCUAGACAAAGGGAAGCCAUUGGGGUAGUACGAAGGAAUAAUGGUCAUUUUGUUAUACUUUGGGUUUGGUUUCAAUUUUAAAAGAUGAAUGGCCCAGGCACUGACUUGUUUUUCUUGGUGGGUGCUCCACUCCUACUCUGUCCAUGGCCUUGUUUGCAUUUGGCAUCUUCACUCAAGGCUUUGCCUGUUCUACCCCUGUUCCAGCCCCAUUUCUGAGCUCCAACCACAGCCAUUUGUUCUCUCAAUUGACUCCUGUCAGCCACUCCUGGAUCCAUUACGAAUCUCUGUGGCCCCAAAACAAUGGAUCCAUAGCCAGCCCAGAGGCCACUGGUAAUUUCUGUAUCAUGUUGCUUGGGGGAAGGGGAAAGAAUUCAGGGAAGAGUCAGAGCAGGGAUGGUGCUUGGAGAAGAGGUGGAUGGGGUUGGAACAGGAUGGAACAUAGGUGGAGCAAGGCCUCUGGUGGGGGGUUGCCCUGGGCCCUGCACUCGCGGUACAGGGCGGAGGAGGGUCAGUUGACCCAGGCCUUGUGCCCCUCGGGGGACAGCCCUUAUUACCAUCAUAUUAACAAUACAUUCCUACGUCCUAAAGUAUAUUUUCAAGUACUAGAUUCAGUCCAGUUUUUAAAUGACUCAGGUGAUAAGCAUUCCUUCAGAAACAAUCUUAUAAGCUAAUCAAGUUCUCUUUGAUCAAGACUCUUAACCAUUUUAGUGAAAAUUGCAUCCUGGUAAAAUUGUAGUCAGCUUUCCAUCUGUGACUACCUCAUCACUUUCAUAGAAUUAUGAGAGCAACCUUCUGCAAGGUUAAAGAUUUCAAUUAACAAUUUGAGAAUGAUACUAAAAUAUGAAUUAUAGCUGAGCAUUUGAUGAAAAUUAACACUUGCUCUGUUAUGAGCUGUGAUGCAUGGAUAUGUAGAAAAUGAGAGAUUGUUCCUAAUUGAUCAUGGGCAAUGCUACUUUCACAAUGGACCAUUUGGCAUUUAAAAUGCUUCCUCUGGUUGCAGAAGAGAUUUCUCUAUCAACAGACUUGGAGCAGAAUUUGAUAGACUUUGGACCUCCUCCAAACAUUUUCCAUUUAUUUGGUUCCAGCCCAGUAGGGGGUGAGAAUCUCCCGUGAGGUAAAAAGCACCCCAAGUGAAUGGCGUCAAUUGGAUCUCAGUACAGCCAGUAGCUCAGAUAAGUAGCACUUGCAAGGUUGUAUCCAAAAAACACACUGACUUGUUGGAAUUAACUGGAGUUCAUAAGGAGCACAGCAUCUGUUACAAUUUGGUUAAUAGGAAGGGCCAAAUAGAUGUAUUCUUGAUUUAGUUAGAUUUAAUCCUGUAGAUAGGUUUGGGUGGUGCUAUGCUAUUUAUUGCUGUAGCUCUUUUUUUAACUCUCAUUUUUUAUUUUUUAACCCAUGAAAAAUGAAGAGAGAGACACUCGAUGGAGUACAGAAGUCCUGAAUAGGCUGAUCAUAUUAAAAUCUUCAGAUUUGUUUUGCACUAUUUCCUUGUAAAAAUGCUUAAAAUAUAAGCAUAGUCCACUUCUAUACCACUGGGCCAGACAGUGCUCCUCUUGUUCUAGUUGUGUAAGUGCUCACCAUCAUGAGCAAGGAUUGCUCAAUCAGUGAAUGAUGUAUGCAAGAGCAAUCAAUAGGAGUUGCUAACAUCAACAAUCUGCCUGUAGGUGGAUCUAUAUGAGCGAAGAAAAAGACACUUUCAGAACAAUAUGGAUGCUUUUCAGUCAGCAUAUGCCAAAG